AAUGGGCGAAAGCCUGACGCAGCCAUGCCGCGUGUGUGAAGAAGGCCUUCGGGUUGUAAAGCACUUUCAAUUGGGAAGAAAGGUUGCGUGUUAAUAGCACGUAGCUGUGACGUUACCUUUAGAAGAAGCACCGGCUAACUCCGUGCCAGCAGCCGCGGUAAUACGGAGGGUGCGAGCGUUAAUCGGAAUUACUGGGCGUAAAGCGCGCGUAGGCGGUUUGCUAAGUCGGAUGUGAAAUCCCCGGGCUCAACCUGGGAAUGGCAUUCGAUACUGGCCGACUAGAGUACGAGAGAGGGAGGUAGAAUUCCACGUGUAGCGGUGAAAUGCGUAGAUAUGUGGAGGAAUACCGGUGGCGAAGGCGGCCUCCUGGCUCGAUACUGACGCUCAGGUGCGAAAGCGUGGGUAGCAAA
rnacentral:rRNA from 1 species